rnacentral:rRNA from 1 species
UUGGUUAAGUUAGAAAGGGCGCACGGUGGAUGCCUUGGCACUAGGAGCCGAAGAAGGACGGGACUAACACCGAUAUGCUUUGGGGAGCUGUACGUAAGCGUUGAUCCAGAGAUUUCCGAAUGGGGGAACCCACUAUCUUUAGUCGGAUAGUAUCCUUACGUGAAUACAUAGCGUGAGGAAGGCAGACCCAGGGAACUGAAACAUCUAAGUACCUGGAGGAAGAGAAAGAAAAAUCGAUUUCCUGAGUAGCGGCGAGCGAAACGGAAAGAGCCCAAACCAAGAAGCUUGCUUCUUGGGGUUGUAGGACACUCUAUACGGAGUUACAAAAGAAAGUUAUAAAUGAAGCGGUCUGGAAAGGCCCGCCAAAGACGGUAACAGCCCGGUAGUUGAAAUGGCUUUCCCUCCAGAGUGGAUCCUGAGUACGGCGGAACACGUGAAAUUCCGUCGGAAUCCGGGAGGACCAUCUCCCAAGGCUAAAUACUCCCUAGUGACCGAUAGUGAACCAGUACCGUGAGGGAAAGGUGAAAAGCACCCCGGAAGGGGAGUGAAACAGUUCCUGAAACCGUGUGCCUACAAGUAGUUAGAGCCCGUUAAUGGGUGAUAGCGUGCCUUUUGUAGAAUGAACCGGCGAGUUACGAUUUGUUGCAAGGUUAAGCGGAAAAAGCGGAGCCGUAGCGAAAGCGAGUCUGAAUAGGGCGCAUAAGUAACAGGUCGUAGACCCGAAACCAGGUGAUCUACCCAUGUCCAGGAUGAAGGUAAGGUAAUACUUACUGGAGGUCCGAACCCACGCAC